UUUCCGAAUGGGGAAACCCAGUGUGAUUCGUCACACUAUCAUUAACUGAAUCCAUAGGUUAAUGAGGCGAACCGGGGGAACUGAAACAUCUAAGUACCCCGAGGAAAAGAAAUCAACCGAGAUUCCCCCAGUAGCGGCGAGCGAACGGGGAGCAGCCCAGAGCCUGAAUCAGUGUGUGUGUUAGUGGAAGCGUCUGGAAAGGCGUGCGAUACAGGGUGACAGCCCCGUACACAAAAAUGCACAUACUGUGAGCUCGAUGAGUAGGGCGGGACACGUGGUAUCCUGUCUGAAUAUGGGGGGACCAUCCUCCAAGGCUAAAUACUCCUGACUGACCGAUAGUGAACCAGUACCGUGAGGGAAAGGCGAAAAGAACCCCGGCGAGGGGAGUGAAAAAGAACCUGAAACCGU
rnacentral:rRNA from 1 species